GUGUGCCUUAAAGAGGGGAAAGGGGAAUCAAUUUUCCCCUGAAGCCCCAGUACAGGCUUGUUGUGAGGAUCAAAAGAGCAGGAGGGUAUGUCCUGAGGUCCCCAGAUGCAUGUGUGAUGCUGCUACUACAGGGGUCAGCUGUGCAGAGCACCCCCACCCCCACCAUUUCCAUUCACACCCUUUGGGUUCUAUAGAGUUCCACUCCUAUCACCUCUCGGUCUUUUGGCUAAGAUCAAAUGUAGUAUGUUUUUACCAGCUUAACAUCUGAUACAUCCUCUAUCUGAGGACAAUAUAUUAAAUGGGUUUUUUGAGCAGGGGGAUGGAAAAGGAGCUUGCUUCAUCCACUCCUAUGCAUCAACCUGGUAUUGCAGGACCUCCAGGAAUGGUGCAUCACCAGGGUGCAAGAGAGAGUUCCACUCCCAGAGAGAGGGGUGAGGGGAUGAGAUGGUGUGAGUAGCAGACUUGGGUGCCAGUGAGCAAACAAGGAAGAGGAGGCAAGAGGUGGGAGGCUGGCAGGAGGUGGACAGGAAGGCAGGCUGCCUGGAGAUGGGCCACUCCCUUGUGAGUGUCCUCGUGCUUUCCUUACAGAUGCUCUACUCAUUUGGAGUAUGGUAUUUGCUCUGCACAUCCUCAUAGGUCAGUGUAUCUGCACAUGUGGUAUCUCUCUACUCUGUGAUAAUGCUUGGUGACCAUGUGGCUGAGGAUACCUGUGUGAAGAACAAGAAACUAGGGGUUGCCCAUAGAGCACUUGGGUGUUUGGUUUGAUGAGCACAGUGUUUAAAACAAAC
rnacentral:lncRNA from 10 species